UACUGUGAGAAAAACUCGAAGCGGUAAUUCCAGCUCUUUUGGUCUCCAGUGUCAUUGACCAGGCAGUAUUGUGCCUCCAGCUCAGACCUCUCUUCUGGACUCUGGAGUCAUGUGUCCAGCUGCUGCAUAUCUGCCCGUGGCUGUUCCUGGGUGUCUCGCACUUGGAAUAUUCCUGACCACACCUUUGUUUUCUACGCCAUGUUUUGCAUUGAUUUCCUGCAAGCAGCCCCCAAUCAAUCACCUCCCCAACAGCCAUCAACUUUGGCUCUUCGGGGGAACCUGACCCAAUGCAAUUAACAGCUUCACCUCAAAGGUUUUCCUCUCACAAAUGAACAUGCAGGAUUGGGCAUCAAGAAAGAAAUGCUCGCAGAAAACGAACCCAUUUACCACAUGCUGGAUUUUUCACUUCGCUGAGAUCGAACUCCUGAGACACCAGAAAUGUAGGGAAGUUAAAUGUGAGAAAAUGUGCAUCUAAGAAUUGAUGAAAUCCCAGCACCCGGAAGGAAGUUCCCCCGCUGCCAUCCCAGGCUCCUAGGGCCAAGAAGGUGAGCCAGUCCCAGCACCUGGAAAGAAGCUCCCGUCUCCAUCCCAAGCUCCUAGGGCAGAGAAGGUGAGCCGCAUGG